UACGUAGGGUGCGAGCGUUGUCCGGAAUUAUUGGGCGUAAAGGGCUCGUAGGCGGUUUGUCGCGUCGGGAGUGAAAACACCGGGCUUAACUCGGUGCUUGCUUUCGAUACGGGCAGACUAGAGGCAUGCAGGGGAGAACGGAAUUCCUGGUGUAGCGGUGAAAUGCGCAGAUAUCAGGAGGAACACCGGUGGCGAAGGCGGUUCUCUGGGCAUGUCCUGACGCUGAGGAGCGAAAGCGUGGGGAGCAAACGGG
rnacentral:rRNA from 1 species